rnacentral:rRNA from 1 species
GCAGCAGUGGGGAAUAUUGGACAAUGGGCGAAAGCCUGAUCCAGCAAUACCGCGUGUGUGAAGAAGGCCCUUGGGUUGUAAAGCACUUUAGUUGAGGAAGAAAAGCUUAAGGUUAAUAGCCUUGAGCCUUGACGUUACUCAAAGAAUAGGCACCGGCUAACUCUGUGCCAGCAGCC